GAUGAACGCUGGCGGCGUGCCUAAUACAUGCAAGUCGAGCGAACAGACGAGGAGCUUGCUCCUCUGACGUUAGCGGCGGACGGGUGAGUAACACGUGGAUAACCUACCUAUAAGACUGGGAUAACUUCGGGAAACCGGAGCUAAUACCGGAUAAUAUAUUGAACCGCAUGGUUCAAUAGUGAAAGACGGUUUUGCUGUCACUUAUAGAUGGAUCCGCGCCUCAUUAGCUAGUUGGUAAGGUAACGGCUUACCAAGGCAACGAUGCGUAGCCGACCUGAGAGGGUGAUCGGCCACACCGGAACUGAGACACGGUCCAGACUCCUACGGGAGGCAGCAGUAGGGAAUCUUCCGCAAUGGGCGAAAGCCUGACGGAGCAACGCCGCGUGAGUGAUGAAGGUCUUCGGAUCGUAAAACUCUGUUAUUAGGGAAGAACAAAUGUGUAAGUAACUAUGCACGUCUUGACGGUACCUAAUCAGAAAGCCACGGCUAACUACGUG
rnacentral:rRNA from 1 species